AGCACCCUGCGAUGUGCGUAAGCGGCUAGCAAGUUUUGGGCCAACACCAAAACAAAGGGAGCCCGGCCUCUGAAUGUGGCUUGUAGGCCCUGUCAGGGGAAACAAAAAGCAUUCAGGAGGGCACCCACCUGCGAGAGCGGGUCUAGAAACUGCAGCCGGCUACGGCACCCGCGGGGUGCUG
rnacentral:other from 1 species